rnacentral:rRNA from 1 species
UGGGGAAUUUUGGACAAUGGGCGCAAGCCUGAUCCAGCCAUGCCGCGUGAGUGAAGAAGGCCUUCGGGUUGUAAAGCUCUUUCGGCGGGGACGAAACGGUUCGUGCUAACACCACGGACUUCUGACGGUACCCGCAGAAGAAGCACCGGCUAACUACGUGCCAGCAGCCGCGGUAAUACGUAGGGUGCAGGCGUUAAUCGGAAUUACUGGGCGUAAAGCGUGCGCAGGCGGUUUGCUAAGACAGGUGUGAAAUCCCCGGGCUUAACCUGGGAACUGCGCUUGUAACUGGCAGGCUUGAGUGCGGCAGAGGGGGUGGAAUUCCACGUGUAGCAGUGAAA